AGGAAUGUAGCUCAGUGGGUGGAGCAUCUGCCUGGUAAGCACAAGUCUCUGAGUUCCAUUCCUG
rnacentral:tRNA from 1 species